UACGAAGGGUGCAAGCGUUACUCGGAAUUACUGGGCGUAAAGGGCGCGCAGGCGGCCCUUGAAGUCAGGCGUGAAAGCCCCGGGCUCAACCUGGGAGGUGCGCUUGAUACUCGAGGGCUUGAGUGCGGGAGAGGAGAGUGGAAUUCCCAGUGUAGAGGUGAAAUUCGUAGAUAUUGGGAAGAACACCGGUGGCGAAGGCGGCUCUCUGGACCGUAACUGACGCUGAUGCACGAAAGCUGGGGGAGCAAACAGG
rnacentral:rRNA from 1 species